UCCUACGGGAGGCAGCAGUGAGGAAUAUUGGUCAAUGGCCGCAAGGCUGAACCAGCCAUCCCGCGUGCAGGAUGACGGCCCUAUGGGUUGUAAACUGCUUUUCUAUACCAAGAAUUGUCGCUACGUGUAGUGAUUUGCCGGUAGUAUAGGAAUAAGCAUCGGCUAACUCCGUGCCAGCAGCCGCGGUAAUAC
rnacentral:rRNA from 1 species